GAUGAAGAACGCAGCGAAAUGCGAUAAGUAAUGUGAAUUGCAGAAUUCAGUGAAUCAUCGAAUCUUUGAACGCACAUGGCGCCUUCCAGUAUCCUGGGAGGCAUGCCUGUCCGAGCGUCGUUUCAACCCUCGAGCCCCCGUGGCCCGGCGUUGGGGAUCUGCCACGGUAGGCCCCUAAAACCAGUGGCGGACCCGAAGGCCCUCUCCUUUGCGCAGUAGCAUCAGCCUCGCAUUGGGAUCCCUCGGCGUCCUGCCUCUAAACCCCCCACAAGUCCGCUCCGGCGGCACCAAGGUUGACCUCGGAUCAGGUAGGAAUACCCGCUGAACUUAAGCAUAUCAAUAAGCGGAGGA
rnacentral:misc_RNA from 1 species